CCUACGGGAGGCAGCAGUGGGGAAUAUUGGACAAUGGGGGGAACCCUGAUCCAGCCAUGCCGCGUGUGUGAAGAAGGCCCUCGGGUUGUAAAGCACUUUCAGUGAGGAAGAACGCCUGGUGGUUAAUACCCAUCAGGAAAGACAUCACUCACAGAAGAAGCACCGGCUAACUCCGUGCCAGCAGCCGCGGUAAUACGGAGGGUGCGAGCGUUAAUCGGAAUUACUGGGCGUAAAGCGCGCGUAGGUGGCUUGAUAAGCCGGUUGUGAAAGCCCCGGGCUCAACCUGGGAACGGCAUCCGGAACUGUCAAGCUAGAGUGCAGGAGAGGAAGGUAGAAUUCCCGGUGUAGCGGUGAAAUGCGUAGAGAUCGGGAGGAAUACCAGUGGCGAAGGCGGCCCUCUGGACUGACACUGACACUGAGGUGCGAAAGCGUGGGUAGCAAACAGGAUUAGAUACCCUAGUAGUC
rnacentral:rRNA from 1 species